rnacentral:rRNA from 1 species
CCUACGGGUGGCAGCAGUGGGGAAUAUUGGACAAUGGGCGAAAGCCUGAUCCAGCCAUGCCGCGUGUGUGAAGAAGGCCUUCGGGUUGUAAAGCACUUUCAGUGGGGAAGAAAGCCUUGGGGCUAAUACCCUCGAGGAAGGACAUCACCCACAGAAGAAGCACCGGCUAACUCCGUGCCAGCAGCCGCGGUAAUACGGAGGGUGCGAGCGUUAAUCGGAAUUACUGGGCGUAAAGCGCGCGUAGGCGGUCUGAUAAGCCGGUUGUGAAAGCCCCGGGCUCAACCUGGGAACAGCAUCCGGAACUGUCAGGCUAGAGUGCAGGAGAGGAAGGUAGAAUUCCCGGUGUAGCGGUGAAAUGCGUAGAGAUCGGGAGGAAUACCAGUGGCGAAGGCGGUCUUCUGGACUGACACUGACGCUGAGGUGCGAAAGCGUGGGUAGCAAACAGGAUUAGAUACCCUGGUAGUC